CAACCGUAUCACGUUGAAACACUGGUUCCGCACAAUCACCGAAAUUAAGCAACGUCAAGCCUGGUCAGUACUUAGAUGGGUGACCGCUUGGGAACACAAAGUGCUGCAA